rnacentral:rRNA from 1 species
AUUGAACGCUGGCGGCAGGCCUAACACAUGCAAGUCGAACGAGUGGCGGACGGGUGAGUAAUGUCUGGGAAACUGCCCGAUGGAGGGGGAUAACUACUGGAAAAGGUAGCUAAUACCGCAUACCAUCGGAUGUUCCCAGAUGGGAUUAGCUCGUAGGUGGGGUAACGGCUCACCGAGGCGACGAUCCCUAGCUGGUCUGAGAGGUUGACCAGCCACACUGGAACUUAGACACGGUCCAGCAGCCUAAGGGAGGCAGAAGGGGGGAAUAUUGCACAAUGGGCGCAAGCCUGAUGCAGCCAUGCCGCGUGUAUGAAGAAGGCCUUCGGGUUGUAAGGUACUUUCAGCGGGGAGGCGUUACCCGCAGAAGAAGCACCGGCUAACUCCGUGCCAGCAGCCGCGGUAAUAC